rnacentral:tRNA from 4 species
GGAGAGGCAACGACCCCGGUGGAUCGGCCGGACUUCAAAUCCGGUGAAUGGCGCCAUGCGCCGUUGGGUGGGUUCGACCCCCACGCCCCUCCGCCA